rnacentral:SRP_RNA from 1 species
UGCCAGCCCCCUGAAUCGACCACCAGCUAACCCCGUCAGGUCCGGAAGGAAGCAGCGGUCCGCAUCGUGGUCGUGUCAGGGAUAAUCUGGCAGUC